GAUGAACGCUGGCGGCGUGCCUAAUACAUGCAAGUCGAACGAGGUGCUUUUGUAGCAAUACGAGAGUAUCCUAGUGGCGAACGGGUGAGUAACGCGUUGGUGACCUACCCCAAAGUGUGGAAUAACAGUCCGAAAGGAUUGCUAAUACCGCAUGUGGUUAUCGGGUUUAGAAACUGAUAACUAAAGGAGCAAUUCGCUUUGGGAGGGACCUGCGUCCCAUCAGCUAGUUGGUGAGGUAACGGCUCACCAAGGCUACGACGGGUAGGGGACCUGAGAGGGUGACCCCCCACAAUGGAACUGGAACACGGUCCAUACACCUACGGGUGGCAGCAGUAGGGAAUAUUGCACAAUGGGCGAAAGCCUGAUGCAGCAACGCCGCGUGCACGAUGAAGGUCCUCGGAUCGUAAAGUGCUUUUCUGAGAGAUGAGAAAGGACAGUAUCUCAGGAAUAAGUCUCGGCUAACUACGUGCCAGCCGCCGCGGUAAUAC
rnacentral:rRNA from 1 species